UCAUUCUCUGCAGAAAACAGAAGGGGAGGGACAGAGCGGAGAAAAGCGUGAGAAAGCAGCCGGGAACUGGAGGAGGUGAGCGGGGAACGGGGACGAUCCGAGAGCGCACGGAACCCAAGGCUUCCCCGCCAUAGCAGCAAAAGGCUACUGGUGAUUUUUAGUAGUAUUAUUUUAAAAAUAAAUAAUAGGAGGCUUCCCAACACAAUUAAGCAAGCCAUCCUUAUCGAUUACCGAAGCGAGCGUCGGAUUUAUCGCAGAGAACGGCAAGCCCUUUUUAAAAUUUAUUUUGGAGAGGAGAAGGAAAACAGUAAGAAAAUCUGAGGUGCAAGACUGAAAUAAAGCAGCUGACUGGAAAAACGCGAUUGCAGGCCGAUGCAAAGUUUCGGUCUGAGUGCUCCAGCAAGGCUUUCUCACCACCCGUACCGCAGAGAGGACUUGCUGCAAGAUCGCGUCCAUCCUGGUCGUAGUGAGAGCCGAAGGGGAAGGAGGAAACCAGGCUUCCCCCAGCGGCCUCUUCCGCGGGGGCUUAUCUGCAGAACAAGGAGGGCCUUAGGAUCCAUUCGCGGUAAACAAAACAAAAAUAAGAGGAUCUCGCGGGAGGCUUCGAUCCGGAGCGCUUGCUUUCCGCAUAGUCAAAACGACUAAGGCGAUUCUUUAGAAGAACAAAACGCUUGCGGGAGCGAGGAGGUUCGGAAUGAAUCGGAGGAUUCAGACGUUGCAAAGGGAACAAAAGGAUGUUGCAAAUUUGCACGGUUCGGUUCCAGUCAGUUACGCCCCCUCCCCCCAAUAUAUAUAGAUAAAUAUAUAUAUAUAUGGGGGGGGCAGAGAAAGAAAUGGAGUGGGGGAAAUGUAAUAAUCCAGUUUUAUACUGUGUUGUCAAAUCUACCGAGUAUCCACGGUUUUGCGCGCGGGACUGGGAAAUCCGGGGGACUGGGAAAUCCGGCGAGUUUUCAAACGCUUCGGCGCACCGAUCUCGGGCCUGGCAGGGAGAAGGGAGAGGACCACCAGCCUCGGCGGUGCUUGCUGUUUCUAUAGCCCAGCGAAGAGGCCUCUCGAGCGGCCGCGAGCAAAAGGAUCUUCCGGUGCCGGGAACCUAGAAAGCUUCCGCUAGGCAUCAUCGGCCAGCGAAGAAAUCGGAGAGAUCGGCCCCAAAAGUGCCUCCACCGACGCCUCCCCGCCACCCCACGGUGCAUUUUAUGCAAUAUUAUACAUUUUUCCAAAUCUUGUUAUUUGCCAAAUCGCAUGUGUGCGUGUUUGAAUCUAGAGAGAGAGAUUUAAAGGAUGCCAGACUGAAAUUGCUGUGCAUGUAGCUUUCCGGCCAGAGCCGCCCCCCCUUUAAAAAUAAAGCUAUCACUAAAGGGAUCCACUAAAGGGAUCCGAGAAGGAAGGACCGAGAGAGGGGCGGACGCGGGGAGAGAUCGGAGAGCGAGAGACAAAGCGCCUCUCCCAGCUGCUCCCUUGCAAGACGUUUGCCUCUCCCGUGCAAAAACGCAACCUGGUUCAACCUUCGAAGCUGAACCAAAAACAAACGAAGAAAGGCCUUUACCUCCAAUCUUAAUGAAACAUUUCCUCACAACACCACGACGGCAUUUUCCUCGCCACUGCAAAACUUAAAAGCCUUACUUCCUACGUAAAACCGACAUACAUGCGCAGAAACACAGACAGGGGCAUAAAUAAAUUAGAAUGCAUCUGUUCCAAGUAUUUUAAUUUUUUUCCCCUUUGCAGUUCGGAAUAGCCGAAUAUGCAUGAAACACUUUCGGUCGCAGACAGCACUUAGCGUCGAGCAGAAAACCCUAACUCUCGCCUGCAUUGUGAUUUAAUUUUUAUUGUGAUUUAAUUUUUAAACAACGGAGGCUACACAUUUGCAUGCAUUCCUUCUCCCUCCCCCCAAAAAUACUACAAUGCCUGCGUUUGUUUGUCUUGCAAAGCCCCAUUCACGUCUCCGUUAGGAGAAAAAAAAACCACCCCCACCCCCCACACAAUUCAACAACUAGAAUUUCAGUAAGAAAUAUGCGAACAAUCGUGGGUUUUGUUAGUACUGCCCGGAGCUCGGUACAACAUUUCUAAGGCACAGCUGAACCACUGAGAAAUAAAAUAAACCUUCAUGCACGUA